rnacentral:rRNA from 1 species
UGCCAGCCGCCGCGGUAAUACGGGGGGUGCAAGCGUUAAUCGGAAUUACUGGGCGUAAAGCGCGCGUAGGCGGUCUGGUCAGUCGGAUGUGAAAUCCCCGGGCUCAACCUGGGAAUUGCAUUCGAUACUGCCAAACUAGAAUGUUGGAGAGGGAAGUGGAAUUUCCGGUGUAGCGGUGAAAUGCGUAGAGAUCGGAAGGAACACCAGUGGCGAAGGCGGCUUCCUAGCCAAACAUUGACGCUGAGGUGCGAAAGUGUGGGUAGCGAACAGGAUUAGAUA